UUAGCCGGGGACAAUGAGUGGUGAAUAAAUAGCUUUGGACAGGAAGUUGCCACUCCAGUAGGAAACUUGGCAGAAAAACCAAAUGAACAGGGCUUUGUGGAGGGAAGAAAGCCCUCCAGCCGCGGAACAGGAUGGGCAAGCAGGGUCCAGUGAAAGGGCACUGGACGUGGGUCGGGCGUGCCCCUGGCAAAGCCGAAGCCGUCUGUCUGUCCCCAGUGAUUGAGAACAGAGGAGGAAUUCCUAUCAGGGCCUUUGUGUAACAGCAGCGACUACGGCUGCCAUUAAACAACUUUGACUUCCUCUCCGAGUAGCCGAGAAACUGUCUUUCCUCAACCGAAAUGUCAAAUGAACACCGUCCUUAAAUAAGAACAUGAAUUUGACCUUUA